rnacentral:misc_RNA from 1 species
GAUGAAGAACGUAGCGAAAUGCGAUAAGUAAUGUGAAUUGCAGAAUUCAGUGAAUCAUCGAAUCUUUGAACGCACAUUGCGCCCUCUGGUAUUCCGGGGGGCAUGCCUGUUCGAGCGUCAUUAUAACCACUCAAGCUCUCGCUUGGUAUUGGGGUUCGCGGUUUCGCGACCCCUAAAAUCAGUGGCGGUGCCUGUCGGCUCUACGCGUAGUAAUACUUCUCGCGAUUGAGUUCGAUAGGUCUACUUGCCAGUAACCCCCAAUUUUUACAGGUUGACCUCGGAUCAGGUAGGGAUACCCGCUGAACUUAAGCAUAUCAAUAAGCGGAGGA